GAUGUACUCCCUCCGUCCGGAAAUACUUGUCGAAGGAAUGGAUGUAUCUAGAUGUAUUUUAGUUUUAGAUGCAUCCAUUUAUAUCCAUUUCUGUGACGAGUAUUUCCGGACGGAGGGAGUACUAG
rnacentral:pre_miRNA from 1 species